rnacentral:lncRNA from 1 species
UCUCUGAAGCUCAUAACCAUUUGGGAUCAUCAAUCUAUACAUAGGGAAUGUUUAUUUGGGCUCACAAUUUUGGAGGUUUCAGCCCAUGGCCAAUUGGCCCCACUACCUUUGGACCUGUGGUGAGAUAGCACACCAUGGUGGGGACCCAAGAGAGGAAGCUGCUCACCUCAGUGCAGCCAGGAAGCAAAAAGAGAAGAAAAACAGACUCCAGGUUCUCAGUAUCCUCCUGGAGGGCCCGCCCCCAAUGAUCUAACUUCCUCCCAAUAGGCCCCGCCUCCUAAAGUUCCACCACCUCCUAAUAGUGCCACAGGUUGGGACGAGCCUUUAACAUAUGGGCCUGUAGGGGACAGUCAAGGUCCCAGCCAUGGUAAUACUCAAUCUUUCCAGUCCUCCUCCCCUCCUGCCACCAAGUUAUGAGUCUACUUUUGAGCUUUCCAUUGGAAGCACAUGUUCACAUCUGCCCAGGCCCCAUCCCGUCCUUCCCAGGAGCCCCAGGGCCACCACCUUGGCAGACCCAACAUGGCACCACCUUCUACUGUGGCUGGCUCCCAGCAGACUUGACCUUUGCCUGAAUGAGGAGCCCAACCCCAUGUACCAGGCAGUGUACCUGGGGCCACUCCAACUGGGAGGGGCUUUGGCAAAGCUUUUGAGUCCAACCCUGGUCAUUUCAUCUUUAUGUGCCUGUGAAUUUAAAGGGAAAUGAGAGCCAGGUGCUGCUGGAACCUGACACUGACCUCAUCGGAGAGCUGUCUGAGGGCAGUCUCCAAGCCGGCAGACCUUCUUAAGCCCCUCUGCUUGGGAAGGAAAGACCGAUCCUUCUUUUGGAAGUCAAAUUUCAUGCCAGCAUCCUCCUUCACCCCUGCGCCAUCUCUCCCACCCUCACAUGGGGACGUGAGGUGGGUCAGGACCAAUCUGUCUCUGCAGCAGUCAUCAUCAUUCAUCACAUUCCUGUCACUUCAUGGUUCCCAACCAUGUCAAUUACCUCAUGGGCUGCUCACAGAAGCCGGGUGAGGAAGGCUUGGCAUGGACUCUUAUCCUUGCCAACAGGGUGGGUGGUUAAGUGAUAAGAUCAGCUUGUAAGCAAUGUGGUCUGGACCAGAACCCAGGCUGCUCAUUCCAAGACCAGGGGUGCUCAAACAUGGGCCUGCAUUGGAAUCACCCGGCCUGGAAGCCCAGCUGAGAUGCAGAUGGAUGGACCCCUACCCCAAAGUUGAUCUGCGGUGGGUCCUGAAAAUUGGUUUUUCUUAGAAAUCCCUAGAGGGUGGUGACACUGAGACCCUGUGUCCUCGCUGCUCCCUAUGGGGACCUCAGAGACCCUCCAAGAGAGGAUGAGCUGCCUUCCGAGGAUGAGCCUGACCUCCCACACCGGGAGUCCGCCUUCCUCCAUGGCACACACAUCAGCCAAGCCUGGUCGGCCAUGGUGGGCCAUAUUGCGGGGACAUGUCCUCCUGGGUGCAGCCGACACUUUUCCACGGCACCUUCUCACCGAUUCCCAGGCUCGGCUUCCCCCACUGGAGCUUUCUUAACCUCAGUUUGUUUUGCCUCCUGACGUCUUAUGACAUUUUCCUGCUAUUCCAUCUGACACCUCAGAGGUAGUGGGACUGAGUAUCACUCAUCAUCCAGAUUGCCUCCCGAUGGUGGCCAUGCCUUAAUGUCAUCUCGGUGCGCCAAAUCCCCAUGGGCCACGCUGCUUUUUGGCAUUGUCUGUUAAUUUGCUCAUUUCCAUGUUCAUUACUGAAAGCACUCUGAGGCUUAAUUGGUCCUCUUUAGCUGCUUCUCCCUGAGCCCCAUGUCGCAGAACCAAAGGCAUGGGAGGCGGAGGGGGGGACAUGGCGUGUAUGCAUGGAUGUGUCUCACCCCCACACAUCCAUGCAUCCACACCAUGUCCCACCUGCAGUCCCCUGGGUCUGGGAAGGAUGAGCAUAGGAUCCUCACCCCCAGUGCUCCCGACAGAAAAGUGUUGGUCCCCAAGGAAGGAGCUUCCAGCUGGAGCAUGGCACCAGCUGGGGGACCAACCCAAGUCCUUUCUACCCUGAGACCCGGGAUACCAAGACACUGUUUUCUUCGGGACACAGAGCCACCUCUGUCCAGGAAUGCAUUCGAAGGAGCCAGGGCUGCAUCCCAAAGCCCGAUCUCAUGCAGCCCACCUCCUCACCCCGCCAUCAGCCACAAGCCCCCACCCCCUCCAAAUGCUCGAGUUAUUUGCAGGUUCUUUU